rnacentral:rRNA from 1 species
AUUGAACGCUGGCGGCAUGCCUUACACAUGCAAGUCGAACGGUAACGCGGGGCAACCUGGCGACGAGUGGCGAACGGGUGAGUAAUGUAUCGGAACGUGCCCAGUUGUGGGGGAUCACUGCUCGAAAGAGCAGCUAAUACCGCAUACGACCUUAGGGUGAAAGCGGGGGAUCGCAAGACCUCGCGCAAUUGGAGCGCCCGAUAUCAGAUUAGGUAGUGGGUGGGGUAAAGGCUAACCAAGCCAACGAUCUGUAGCUGGUCUGAGAGGACGAACAGCCACACUGGGACUGAGACACGGCCCAGACUCCUACGGGAGGCAGCAGUGGGGAAUUUUGGACAAUGGGCGCAAGCCUGAUCCAGCCAUGCCGCGUGCGGGAAGAAGGCCUUCGGGUUGUAAACCGCUUUUGUCAGGGAAGAAAAGACUCCUGUUAAUACCGGGGGUUCAUGACGGUACCUGAAGAAUAAGCACCGGCUAACUACGUGCCAGCAGCCGCAGUAACAC